GCCGGCGACCGGCGACGGGUGCGUAACGCGUAUGUAACCUACCUUUGACAGGGGGAUAACAUCGAGAAAUUGGUACUAAUACCCCAUAACAUCACCGGAGGCAUCUUCGGUGGUUGAAAACUCAGGUGGUCAGAGAUGGACAUGCGUUGUAUUAGCUAGUUGGUGAGGUAACGGCUCACCAAGGCGACGAUACAUAGGGGGACUGAGAGGUCAACCCCCCACAUUGGUACUGAGACACGGACCAAACUCCUACGGGAGGCAGCAG
rnacentral:rRNA from 1 species